UGCUAAGCUAAUUUAUCAAGCAGUGUUAGUAUUUUCUGGCAAAUAAUUUUCAAAUAAAUAAGUAGUUAGAAAUUUCCUAAAUUCCAAAAAUGAAUACCACUCAGAAUAAUCGCAAGCGGCCAUGUACUGUUAUGAGAAAAGAAGAGUCCAAGAGGCUCAAAAAUGCUUGUACGAUUGAUAACGCGGAAGUUGAGAGGGUUCCUUCUGUCACGAUAUUGGCUUUAUCUCCAUCCAUCGAUGGUUAUCCACUGAAAAUAUCCAAUUCGGAGCCAUAUUUACUUCUAUUGCGAUUGAAAAAGGACGCUUCACAAGAAUAUACUUUUACCCGUGAACUAAGCAUAUAAAGACUAAUUACGUCCCAUCUACCAUCCUGCUUCGUUGUCGAAAGGUCAAACCACAUUACGAUGCACAAUGUAAAAUCAUCAUACACAAUCCAAGGGCGACGACGGAAGUCGAACGAAGUACCGUGUACGUGACACACGAACUCCUAGUUGAAAUUAGUUGAAUAAUCAAGGAUCCUUCGUACUCCAUAAAUUACCUGAAUCUGCUGUAAAACAACUGCUUUGUAUCACUUUUGUCAAAUAACAUUUUUUAACAUAUAACGUUAGAAUAAAUAUUUGCGUUUUU